rnacentral:rRNA from 1 species
GCGCGAACCUGAUCAGCACGCCGCGUGAGGGAUGAAGGCCUAGGGUCGUAAACCUCUUUAGGAGGGAAGAAAUUGACGGUACCUCCAAAGAAACCCGGCCAACUACGUGCCAUCAGCCGCGGUAAUACUUAAGGGGCGAGCGUUGUCUUGAAUUAUUGGGCGUAAAGAGCUCAUAUGCUGCUCAGCAAGUCGGCUGUGAAAUCCCGAGGCUCAACCUCGGAACUGCACUCCAUACUGCUGUGGCUAGAU